GACGUAGGAGGCGAGCGUUGUCCGGAUUCAUUGGGCGUAAAGAGCGCGCAGGCGGCUUGGUAAGUCGGAUGUGAAAUCCCGAGGCUCAACCUCGGGUCUGCAUCCGAUACUGCCCGGCUAGAGGUAGGUAGGGGAGAUCGGAAUUCCUGGUGUAGCGGUGAAAUGCGCAGAUAUCGGGAAGAACACCCGUGGCGAAGGCGGUUCUCUGGGACGGUACUGACGCUGAGACGCGAAAGCGUGGGGAGCGAACAGG
rnacentral:rRNA from 1 species